rnacentral:rRNA from 1 species
UUGAUGGAGAAUUUGAUCCUGGUUCAGAAUGAACGUUGGCGGCGUGGAUGAGGCAUGCAAGUCGAACGCGUGUAGCAAUACACGAGUGGCGAAUGGGCGAGUAUAAAUUGGUUAACCUGCCCUUGAGUGGGGGACAACCUCGGGAAACUGGGGCUAAUACCGCAUAAGACCACAGCGAGGCAUCUCGCAGGGGUCAAAGCCUUCGGGCGCUCAAGGAGGGGAUCAAUCCGUAUCAGGUAGUUGGUGAGGUAAAAGCUUACCAAGCCUACGACGCGUAGCCGGUCUGAGAGGAUGGUCGGCCGCACUGGGACUGAGACACUGCCCAGACUCCUACGGGAGGCUGCAGUCGAGAAUAUUUGUCAAUGGGCGCAAGCCUGAACGAGCGACGCCGCGUGUGGGAUGAAGGCCUUCGGGUUGUAAACCACUGUCAGGGGUUAGCAAUAAGCGCGUAAAACGCGUGAUGAGCAGCCCCAGAGGAAGUGACGGCUAACUACGUGCCAGCAGCUGCGGUAAUACGUAGGUCACGAACGUUAUUCGGAGUCACUGGGCUUAAAGGGCGCGUAGGUGGCUGAGUAAGUUGAGGUUGAAAUCCGGCGGCUCA